rnacentral:lncRNA from 1 species
GUCAGCAGGCGCUUAUUUCAGUCAAAUGGGUCAGUCCAUUCACAGACAAGACUUAAGAAAAUAUUACCUUUCUACUUAAAGAUUCCAGGAAUUGCACUUUCUGGGCCCAAAGCCUCCCUGCCUGCCCUCACACCUUUUCUACAGCUGCUGGGUCAGACUGAAGCCUGGGGCCGGCCUACACCUCUGCCUUCGAGUCUUAUCUUCAGUUGCCUGGGCUGCCUUCGGCCGGAGGCCCGCCUACCUGCCCAUGCGCCGUUCUUCAGCAGCCCGGCUGCCCGGCUGCCCGCCAUCAGCAGGCCCACAGCAAGAGUGACGGCCAUAUCGGAGUGGCGAGCAGCAGAGAGAGAGCCUCUCCGAGGCUAAUGGCUGAGAAUUGAAGCCCACCGGGAGAGCGAAGAUAGUCACUGCAAUAAAAGACCCAGCAGACUACAGCGGUUGACAUGUUGCUCAGCUGUGCUACACCUCCAGUUCUACUGAUUUCCUCUUCCAACUGUGACAACAAGGCUGGUGAUCCUUAUGGCUUGUCCCACUCUGGAAGCACCUCUAUGGCAAUGAAGCUGAGUAAAGAUGGAAAAUUCCUCAGCUUCCUGAGCAACUAUGGACUGAAACUGCUAAAAACCAUGCAGAGCUUUCCUGUGCCAGACCCUUCCAUCACAUCAUUUCUCUCACGGAGCCAGCCAACUAGGGAUUGUAACUGCUACCAAAAGGUGGGCAGCUUCCUCCACAACACACUCCUGCUGAGAUCUGUCCUGGCACCAGUCUGAAAGCAACAGGACUAACCAACCAUGGUCUGAAGCUGCUGAAACUGUCUCAUUUAAAGACAGGAAGAAAAUUAUUCGUAUAAAAGUAUGUGAGAUAUCAACAAUUAACUGUGCUAUGAAUAUUAAUGGUGGUGAACCAAGAAAGCUCUUGUGGAGAAGUUGACCGCCUAGCAACACCCAAGGGAAGUGGGGAUCCAGUCAUGUGACUACUGAGGGAGAAGAAUACUCCAGAUGCUGAAAGAAGAAAGGCAAAGUACAGGAAGUCUGUCUGGGCAUCUAUGAGCACCAAGGAAGCCAAAGAGCCUAAGACAGAGUGAGGAAAGAGGAGACUAAUAGAAGAUAAGGGGACAAGACAGAUGGACACUGCAUUUCACCUGGGAGCGGAGCCAAUGCUAGCUGUGCUUGCUGCCCUGGAGAAGUUUAUAGAAAUGAGGUGGAAUGCAUGAAUUUCCAAGGGAGAAUGAAGCCCUAAGUCCCACUUCCAAGUUUGAUUCGCUCAGGCUAUUGGGUGUUUUGUUUUGGUACCAGGGACCUUGCGCUUGUGAGGCAGGCGGCGCAAUCACUGAGCUAAAUCCCCGGCCCUCAGGCUAUUGGUUUUAAAUGUACC